UAGGGAAUCUUCGGCAAUGGGCGAAAGCCUGACCGAGCAACGCCGCGUGAAUGAUGAAGGCCUUCGGGUUGUAAAAUUCUGUUAUAAGGGAAGAAUGACUCUAGUAGGAAAUGGCUAGAGUGUGACGGUACCUUAUGAGAAAGCCACGGCUAACUACGUGCCAGCAGCCGCGGUAAUACGUAGGUGGCGAGCGUUAUCCGGAAUUAUUGGGCGUAAAGAGCGCGCAGGUGGUUGAUUAAGUCUGAUGUGAAAGCCCACGGCUUAACCGGGGAGGGUCAUUGGAAACUGGUCAACUUGAGUGCAGAAGAGGGAAGUGGAAUUCCAUGUGUAGCGGUGAAAUGCGUAGAGAUAUGGAGGAACACCAGUGGCGAAGGCGGCUUACUGGACCACAACUGACGCUGAGGCUCGAAAGCGUGGGGAGCAAACAGG
rnacentral:rRNA from 2 species